AGCAUAAGAUUUCCAAAGUAAAAUGAAAUGUUUCACUAUGUAAUGAUGUUAUUAUUUUCCAUGGCAGGUAAGAAGUCGAGGCAUCAAGAUGUUGAGCAAGGAUGUGAUGAAGAGGAGUCGUUUCUUCCCACCAGGAACAACUUGAGCAGAGAAAAUAAACAAGUUCCUGAAUCUGAGACUGAAAAUGAGACAACCAGGAUCGAGUCGAAGCAGAAAGAUGCAGGGGGAACAUGGGAUGAGAAAGAGUCGCUUCUUUCCACCCUGAAUAAAGUGAAAACUGAACUGGAGAACCAGAAACAUCAACUAGCAGAACAACUCAGAGAAGCUGAGUCUGAAAUGAAGAUAAACAAAGAAGAACUUCAAUCAGUGGAAACCAAAAUAACAGACAGACAAAGCCAUGAUGACACAGAGUCUUUGUUAAAGGAAAAAGAAAAACUGCUACAGACCCAGUGGAAAUUAGAUGAGAAAAAGAAAACCAUUGAAAGACAAACACUGAACAUAGAGAAAGCUCUGGAACCUGUAGAGAACAUAAAUUAGUGUCCUUAGAUUUUACACAGUAACCAACUCAACUAAUUAAGUUGAGUAAAAACACAACUUAGUUUUACACAUUAGA